rnacentral:lncRNA from 1 species
GGGGGUUCUAGGGUUCCGGCGGCGGUAUCAGGUAACAAAGAGAAGAAAGAACUGGAAGGAGAGAGGCCCGGAACGGCGGCGCGCGGCCAGGCUGUGGCGGAGCAAAGGCGGCAAUACCGAUUUCCGUCGAGUGCACGGUUGGGAUUAAGUAAACAGAAGACAAAGAAGCUUAUUGUAGCAUCGGUUAGGUCACAGAAGCGGUUAUCAAGGUCGUACAAGAAGAACGAAAGCGCAUACGGUGGUCCCACAUCGAGCAGACAAUGCCGCUUCCGGCCAGAUUAGGGUUCCGUCCGUUAUCCGGUCACCCGCUUUCAUCUUGGAUGGUGGAUGGACAGCUCUGGUAGGUGAUUGUGUUGGGCGGUUCCCCUUGCAAAUAGAUUGUAUCAUUCUUAUCCGUUUUCGAUUAUAUCAUGGAAUACACCUAAUGUCGCUGAUGGUUUUCGAUUAGGGUUUAUGUGGAAGGCGCCGUUUAUGCAAAAAAUUAGGUUGACGUAUGGACUGAUGGCAACCUUGGUAGAGUAAUAAUUACCAAUUUUUGGUGGACCAGGAUGUGGAGACAGAACCGACGGCGGUUUUAGUGUACCACCGUAAUCAGCGGCGGAAACCAUCAUCUCAGAUAGGUUUACCAAGACUGACAGUUGCGGCUAUGUUGGGUACCAAAUCCUUAGGCCUUGGCGUAGUUAUAUGGAGAAGAGAGAAUUACAUAUCAACUGGAGCCAUGUGAAUACCACAAGAAUGGUGAUAUUUGGACCCAUUCUCACUUCUGGUUUGUAAUUCUUUGGAUUUACUAAAAUAACUUCAUGCAAAUAGAUGGACGUUAGGAAAUCUAAAAGCAUCCUGCUGUGUAUUAUGUACAUAACUCUCUGGACGCUGUGGAAAGAACGAUAUGGUUUGGUUUUUAGAGGUUUGAAGAGAUCGGCUGAUAGAGCGCGCGAAGACAUCAUCUCCUCCUUAUUCAAUUGGAUUAAUCACAGGUCUAAAAAUGUGGUCUGGGCUUCCUGUAUCCAGCUCGCUGGAGGCCUUUUGGCUUCAGCAAAUGGGUAUGAACUGAAGUUGUGAUGAAUUAGUAUUAUAACAUGAUAUACAAUCAAACAGUUUCACUUAGAUUUAACAUUGCAGAUUGUAUUUUUUU